rnacentral:lncRNA from 1 species
AUUAAGCUGAUCUCAUUUCCACCUCCGCACAUCCUCAACAAUUAGGCUACACAGCGGAUGUCCCCGGAGAUGACUUGACGCUAGUGCAGUCAUCAUAUACUUCACUGUGGCAAACUGACAGAAAGCUGGAAAAACACUGAGCAGAUUGAGGUUUAACGGCAUAUAAUAACGGUACUGGAUGAGAAGAAGUCGUGAUGGAGGUAAUCAGGCACGCAUAGUGCUUGAGACUUGCUGAAACAACAGAUAUAAUAAAUGGUGAGACAUCAGCUGGAAGCCAGAGGACUGCGGUGCACUUCAGCUGGAAUGACUUCUUCCAGGCUCAGAAUCGCUCAGCGCCCAGCAGACCUGGGAGAGAAUAAAAGAGUUGGUCUCUGCUUUUUCUUUCUGUAUCCUGAAGGAGAAGUCUGAUGGAGCAAGGGAAUGAUCGGAGAGAGAGAGAGGGAGUGGUGGGGGUGGGGGUUAGCAGGCUAAAUGGACUAGCGAAGCACAUUAGAGCUAAUGGAUGAAGCCUGUGGGGUCAGUUUAUUCAGUACAGCUCCUGGACCCCCCUACAUGUGUGCUAAUGCAGCACACUGGUCCAGAGACCCGGGCUGAAUCCCAAUCUGCUUACUUAUACUAAGCACUACAAGUAUGCCCUUGUGAAAAGUACACUUCAGCAUACUUUUAAAAAGAGUACUUAUCACAGAAAUAAUAUACUUUAAAAAUAUAAAUACUUGUGUGCAAACUGCAAGUGAUGUUUCAGCUGUUUUAGCUAAGCAUUUAUUUCACAUUGAACAGUUUGUUUUUCUUUGCUUGGAUUUCUGUGUCAGCUUUGAAUUCAUCCACCUUUGAGUUUGAUCUAAUAUCUUCUCAGAGCAAUACUUGACAUGUUUUAAACCAAAAUAAAAGACUGUUUUUGACUCAAGCCAGGUAACCUUGGGUCAGUGUUUUCACUAUACUAUGUUUUCCACCAGACGAAUGAUCUUAAAAUGAGAAGCUAAGUUGUGCUCCAGAGGUGAUGUUAAUAUUUCAUAGAGAAACCUGGUGGAUGGAUGCCUUCACUGGAAAUAGAAAAUGAAAAGAAGAAAGAAUAGAAAGUAGAAGAUACUGUGGCAGACACAUUCUGUUUGGAGUCAUUUUAAGGUAUGAAAAACAUCAGUUUAACAUUUAAUGAGCAAUCCUAAUAUUUAAAAAAUGAUUACACUACAGGGCCAUUGAAUGCUUGCAUCUGAUUGGAUGACAAAUGAUCUAAGAUGUGCAAUUAUUUUCAGGGGAAACACACUGAAAAUUAUUUCCAGGCAGGUCUUGACCGCAUUACCAAUCACCAAACGAUUUCAGUUAUUUCACGAGGAUCUGUCAGCCUAAAACAGCAAAAG